ensembl:lncRNA
GGGAUUAUUUUUGUCUGCACAUGCUGCAAAGGGACAGAUUGAGCCACAUUUCAAUAUGCUUGUCUCUUCCACUUGCUCACUUCAAUUCUGCCCGAGCAGUCUUGUAGUUAAUAUUUGUAUAUUCAGUUCAAUUCUGCUCUUGAACCAGAGGAGACCAAUACUGGUCUCUUCUGACAGAAAUACUUGAUGCUUUUUGAUUUUUAAAUAUUGCUGAGUGAAUGACAUGAUGGAUGAGAAAGUAAAUAGUAAUACAUUUGUGUGCUGGUUUUGGCUGGAGUAGAGUUAAUUUACUUCAUAGCAGCUGGUAUGGGGCUAUGUUUUGGAUUUGUGUUGGAAACAGUGUUGAUAAUAUAGGGAUGUUUUCCUUACUGCUGAGCAGUGCUCACUCAGUCAAGGCCUUUUCUGCUUCUCACCCCACCCCACCAGUGAGCAGGCUGGGGAUGCACAGGAAGUUGGGAGGGGACACAGCCAGGACAGCUGACCCCAACUGACCAAAGGGAUGUUCCAUGCUAUGUGAUGUCAUGCUCACCCUAUAAAGAGGGGGGAAGAAGAAGGAAGGGGGGAUGUUCAGAGUGAUGGUGUUUGUCUUCCCAAGUAGCCGUUACGUGUGACGGAGCCCAGCGUUCCUGGAGAUGGCUGAACACCUGCCUGACCAUGGGAAGUGGUGAAUGAAUUCCUUGUUUUGCUUUGCUUCUGUGGGCAGCUUUUGCUUUACCUAUUGAACUGUUUUUAUCUCAAAGCAUGAGUUUUCUCACUUUUACCCUUCCAGUCCUCUCCCCCAUCCCACCAUGAGGAGUGAGCGAGCAGCUGUGUGGGGCUUAGCACCAGCUGGGAUUAAACCACGACAAUUUGUUUGUGUAAAUUUGGUCAGAUAUUUUGAUGCUGUAGAGACUAAUAAAUUGAGAUAAGCCAUGGCGAAAGGCCAAAUGGAUCCAACUGUCCUGUUCCUGCUUAAGUCCAUGACCGUUCCACAGGGAGAGCUUUAUCUCUGUUCCCUCAGGCUGUUUCUACAUUGCAGUGUACAGUAGAGAUACCAGAUCUAACCUUCGAUAAGCUACCAUGGGCAGACUAACUGCAGCAGCAUGGAGUUCAGCACAUUCUGUGUCUUGGUAAAACCAGAUACCUCUUUAGAUGAAUGCUUUGUGAGCAAACCUACAUAUUCUAAGGAAGACUUUUAUGACUCUGAAAGGAGAGGGAUGACUAUGAAUUAAAUUAAUUUAGUCCUCAUAUUUUUCUUAUGGCUGUCUACAAUUGCUAGUGUCCUGCGUGUAGCUGCCUAUAGCUAUUGUGAUGUGUUAAUUCCAUCCCCUCCAGGUUCUGUUGUGAGCAAAUCUGGUGAUACUCUGAGUCUCCAGCCAGUUCUCAGUCAGGCAAAGCCCAUGGAAAAGACUCUAGUCAGGAAGAUUAGACUCUAGUCAGGAAGACUGAGGGCAGCUCUUGCUGCAUUCUUUGGGAGCAUGUAACUGCAGAGCGACAUGUUAAACCUACCUGGUGACUAAAAUUAAUUAACUAAAAUCUUGAGGAAUUAAGCAAUUAAAGAACCUGAGCAGCACAUCUGGGGUCAGAAUCAUAUUGGGAUGCUUAAUACAUAGUGAGAACUUGGGGUCAGUCCCUAAAAGACAGGACCAUUCGGGGCGCUCAGAUCUACACUUCUUGUCAGAUUUGGAGAAGGAAGAGGGGCUCAGAUCCAGCCUUUCGGGCAGGGCUGACUCACUCAAUGGAUUGAGUCAGAGAGAGGCGCUUCUCCAGAUCAUGUCCUGGGCCAAAAGACAAGACAAGCUGCAGCUUAGGAAGUUCACUUCUUUAAGACGUUUUCUUUUUAAAGGAGAAAGCAGUUCAAACUGCACCUGGCAAAAUGACUGACUUCAAAAGCAUGUUUUUCCUUGUAUAUAGACACUCACAAAACAGCGUUGUGUGGUUAAAAAGGUGAGUUUGUGGUAGUUUCUUUUUCAGUGCCAAAAUAUAUAAGCAGUAUUGUUUGAAGGGAAAUAAGAAUUUUUUUACUGUAUUGUUAUUACUGUUGAACAAAUAUUGUUUUAAAUGUUAGAUUUUGAAGACUUUUGUAUUGUAAACUGUUUUGUGACAUGGUGCUUUUUCAUACUGGAAUUACUAAUUGCACCUAAAUAUGAAUUUUUGUUUUCUUAUAUAAAUAUGUAACCUUGAACAAUCUUGAUGAAAACCAAUGUAUGGUGGAUACCAAUGGUUCAAACCAAUUCUCCUACUGAAAUCCCCUAAAUGUUCUUUCCUACUAAUAAACAUUCUGCUGCAGCUA